CCUACGGGUGGCAGCAGUCGAGAAUCAUUCACAAUGGGGGAAACCCUGAUGGUGCGACGCCGCGUGGGGGAAUGAAGGUCUUCGGAUUGUAAACCCCUGUCAUGUGGGAGCAAAUUAAAAAGAUAGUACCACAAGAGGAAGAGACGGCUAACUCUGUGCCAGCAGCCGCGGUAAUACAGAGGUCUCAAGCGUUGUUCGGAAUCACUGUGCGUAAAGGGUGCGUAGGCUGUUUCGUAAGUCGUGUGUGAAAGGCGCGGGCUCAACCCGCGGACGGCACAUGAUACUGCGAGACUAGAGUAAUGGAGGGGGAACCGGAAUUCUCGGUGUAGCAGUGAAAUGCGUAGAUAUCGAGAGGAACACUCGUGGCGAAGGCGGGUUCCUGGACAUUAACUGACGCUGAGGCACGAAGGCCAGGGGAGCGAAAGGGAUUAGAUACCCCAGUAGUC
rnacentral:rRNA from 1 species